rnacentral:rRNA from 1 species
UACGUAGGGUGCGAGCGUUGUCCGGAUUUAUUGGGCGUAAAGAGCGUGUAGGCGGCUAUACAGGUCCGUUGUGAAAACUCGAGGCUCAACCUCGAGACGCCGAUGGAAACCGUAUGGCUAGAGUCCGGAAGAGGAGAGCGGAAUUCCUGGUGUAGCGGUGAAAUGCGCAGAUAUCAGGAAGAACACCCGUGGCGAAGGCGGCUCUCUGGGACGGUACUGACGCUGAGACGCGAAAGCGUGGGGAGCGAACAGG